rnacentral:pre_miRNA from 1 species
AAAGUACUCCCUCCGUCCCAAAAUUCUUGUCUUAGAUUUGUCUAGAUACUGAUGUAUCAAGUCACAUUUUAGUAUUAGAUACAUCCGUAUGUAGACAAAUCUAAGACAAGAAAUUUGGGACAGAGGGAGUAGUUG